GUAGUCUGCGCGGGGACUGGCGGGACUGCGCGGAGGCGACUACAGGCAUGGCGGUCUGGGUCCUGUCGCGCCUGCUGAGCGCUCCGCGCCUGGCGCUGGCCAAGGCGGUCCUGAGGCACGUGAAUGGCCAGGAUCAGAUUGUGCCCGGCCUGUACGCCUGUGGGGAGGCCGCCUGUGCCUCGGUACAUGGUGCCAAUCGGCUCGGGGCAAACUCGCUCUUGGACUUGGUUGUCUUUGGUCAGGCAUGUGCCCUGAGCAUCGAAGAGUCAUGCAGGCCUGGAGAUAAAGUCCCUCCAAUUAAACCAAACGCUGGGGAAGAAUCUGUCAUGAAUCUUGACAAAUUGAGAUUUGCUGAUGGAAGCAUAAGAACAUGAGAACUGCGACUCAGCAUGCAGAAGUGCCGCUGGGUUAGGGUCUCCACAACCGAGCUGGUCUCAGCAAGUGGCGCCCACACAUGGGGGCUCGAAUCCAGGUCGAAGGGUCACCGGAGCGACAGAAAACUUGGAACUAAGCUGGAGGACACCGAGUACUCUUAUGCAGUCCCCAUGGUGAGUAAGAAGGGGAGCUCAGAAGCAUCAGGGUAACGAUGGGACACGUGUGGGCUCUGGUUCUAAGCCGGAGGACACCCAAGUACUCUUACCCAGUCCCCAUGGUGUGUAAGAAAGGGAGCUCGGAAGCAUCAGGGUAACAAUGGGACACGUGUGGGCUCUGGUUCUAAGCUGGAGGACACUGAGUACUCUUACACAGUCCCCAUGGUGAGUAAGAAGGGGAGCUCGGAAGCAUCAGGGUAACAAUGGGACGUGUGGGCUCUGGUUCGUUCCACCUUGGAACCUUUUCACGCUAAUAAUAAGGGGGAAGGAGAGUAUAACGAAGUAACAGAAGAAAUAACAGAGCAGGUUUGUUUGCCAACUAAAGCUAAAGCGGCAAAGGAGGGAGAGGUUCAUCCCUACCCUUCUGCACCCCCUCCUUAUUUUGAAGAAAAAGAGUGGCCUGACCCUCCAGAUCUUUCAUUUCCAGAGGACAGUGGGCGAAAAGUAGUUGCUCCAGUGACUGUCCGAGCAGCACCUUGAGCGACCCCUCUCAGUUCUAUUCAGGUAGGAAUUCAGCAAGCUAGAUGAGAGGGUGAUUUAGAGGCUUGGCAGUUCCCUAUUAGAAUACACCCCGCAGAUCAACAGGGAAAUAUAGCCACAUUUGAGCCUUUUCCCUUUAAAUUACUUAAGGAGUUUAAACAGGCUAUCAAUCAAUAUGGACCAGGUUCUCAUUUCGUAAUGGGACUGUUAAAGAAUGUUGCUGUUUCCAGUCGGAUGAUUCCUACUGACGGACACUCUUACUCGAGCUUGUCUAACUCCUGCUCAGUUCUUACAAUGUAAAACUUGGUGGGCAGGUGAAGCUUCCAUUCAGCCUACUUGCAGCGCCCAGGCCCAACCUCAAAUUAAUAUAACUGCAGACCAACUUUUGGGGGUCAGCGGCUGGGUUGGUUUAGAUGCACAAGUGGUCGUGCAGGAUGAUGCCGUAGAACAGCUUAGAGGAGUGUGCAUUAGAGCUUGGGAAAAAAUCACUUCAGGUGGAGAACAAUACCCUUCCUUUAGUGCAGUAAAACAGGGACCAAAAGAACCGUACGCAGAUUUUAUAGCUCAGUUACAGGAGUCUCUUAAAAAGGUGAUUGCAGAUUCGGCUGCUCAGGAUAUAGUGCUGCAGUUAUCAGCUUUCGACAAUGCUAAUCCCGAUUGCCAGGCUGCUCUGUGACCUAUCAGAGGGAACGCACACUUAGUUGAUUAUAUCAAGGCCUGUGACGGUAUCAGAGGUAAUAUGCAUAAAGCUACUUUGUUGGUACAGGCAAUGGCAGGACUGAGAGUGGAUAAAGGAAAUCCUUUGUUGCCUGGAGCUUGUUUUAACUGUGGGAAGCAUGGUCAUACUAAACAAGAACGUAGAAAAAAUGAGUGAGUCAGGCUGCCAGAUAGGGGAAAAAAGAAAACUGCUGAGCCUGAAAUAUGUCCAAAAUGUAAAAAAGGAAAACGUUGGGCUAAUCAGUGUCACUCUAAGUUUGAUAAAGAUGGGAACUCGAUUUUGGGAAAUGCCAUGAGGGGCCCGUCCUGGGUCCCGUUCCAAACCGGAGCGUUUCCGGCUCAGGCCAUUCCCUCACCCCUGUACAAUGUCUGUUCCCCGCCACAGCCAGUAGUGCCACAGUAGAUUUAUGCUGCACAUUAGCUGUGAGACUUCUGCCUGGGGAACCCCCACCAAAGGUCCCAGCAGGAGUCUGUGGACCCUUGCCAGCGGGGACAAUAGGAUUACUUUUAGGAAGGUCUAGUUUAAGUUUAAAAGGAGUACAAAUACACACAGGAGUCAUUGAUUCAGAUUACAAUGGGGAAACUCAAAGUGUUAUAUCUACUUCUGUUCCCUGGAAAACAGAGCCAAGAGAGCAUAUAGCACAGCUCCUGAUUGUGCCAUAUGUGGAAAUGGGGAAAAGUGAAACUAAACGAACAGGAGGAAGUACAAAUAUACAAAGCAAAGCAGCUUAUUGGGUGAAUCAAAUUACUGAUAAACGUCCUACCUGUGAAAUAACUAUUCAGGGAAAGAAAUUUAAGGUUUGGUAGAUGCAGGAGCGGAGAUUUCAAUCAUUUCUCUACAGCACUGGCCAUCCGCGUGGCCAAUUCAACCUGCUCAAUUUAACAUAGUUGGAGUUGGUAAAGCCCCUGAAGUAUAUCAAAGUAGUUAUAUUUCCAUUGUGAAGGGUCCAAUGGACAACCUGGGACUAUUCAACCAAUUAUAACUUCUGUACCUAUAAAUUUAUGGGGAAGAGAUUUAUUACAACAAUGGGGAGCACAAGUUCUAAUUCCAGAGCAAUUAUAUAGCCCUCAAAGUCAGCAUAUGAUGCAUGAAAUGGGGUAUGUCCCUGGUAUGGGACUAGGAAAAAAUUUGCAAGGUUUGAAAGAACCACUUCAAGUGGAAAGACAGUUCCUGCCAAGGUUUAGGAUAUUAUUCUUGAUGGCAGCCAUUGUUAAGCUUCCAGAACCUAUACCUUUAAAAUGGUUAACAUAUAAGCCAAUUUGGAUGGAACAAUGGCCGCUGAGUAAAGAGAAACUGGAGGCUUUAGAGGACUUAGUUAAUGAACAAUUAGAAAAGGGACACAUAGCUCCAACAUUUUCCCCUUGGAAUUCUUCAAUUUUCGUAAUUAAGAAAAAAUCAGGUAAAUGGAGAAUGUUAACUGACUUAAGAGCCAUUAAUUCAGUUAUACAACCUAUGGGGACAUUACAGCCAGGAUUGCCUUCUCCUGCUAUGAUUCCAAAAAAUUGGCCUUUAAUAGUCAUAGAUUUAAAAGACUGUUUCUUUACUAUCCCCUUAGCUGAGCAAGACUGUGAACGGUUUGCAUUUACAAUUCCUGCAGUAAACAACCUGCAGCCUGCUAAGCGUUUUCAUUGGAAAGUGUUGCCACAAGGCACGUUAAACAGUCCAACGAUUUGCCGGAUUUGUGUAGGGCAAGCAAUUGAACCUCCUCGUAAAACAUUUUCACUGUGUUACAUUAUUCAUUAUAUGAAUGAUAUACUUUGUGCUGCCCCUACUCAAGAAAUAUUACUCCAGUGUUAUGAUCACUUGCAAAAUUCAAUUUCUGGUGCUGGUUAAAUUAUAGCUCCUGACAAAAUUCAGAUUACUACUCCUUACUCCUACUUGGGAACCUUAGUAAAUGACACUACCAUUGUGCCACAGAAAGUAGCCAUACGUAGGGAUCAAUUGAAAACAUUAAAUGACUUUCAAAAAUUACUAGGGGACAUUAACUGGAUACAACCUGCUCUAGGCAUUCCUACCUAUGCCAUGAGUAAUCUGUUUUCUAUCCUUAGAGGAGAUCCUAGUCUCACCAGCCCUCGGUAAUUAACAAGAGAAGCUGAGGCAGAGCUGCAGCUAAUCGAAAAGCAAGUCCAUAAAGCCCAAAUAAAUAGAAUCGAUCCAGAGAAGACUCGAGCUGCAGCUGAUCGAAAAGCAAGGCCAUAAAGCCCAAAUAAAUAGAAACGAUCCAGAGAAGACUCGAGCUGCAGCUGAUCGAAAAGCAAGGCCAUAAAGCCCAAAUAAAUAGAAAUGAUCCAGAGAAGACUCGAGCUGCAUCUCAUCAAAAAGCAAGGACAUAAAGCCCAAAUCAAUAGAAUCGAUGCAGAGAAGACUCAAGCUGCAGCUGAUCAAAAAGCAAGGCCAUAAAGCCCAAAUAAAUAGAAUCGAUCCAGAGAAGACUUGAGCUGCAGCUGAUCGAAAAGCAAGGCCAUAAAGCCCAAAUCAAUAGAAUCGAUCCAGAGAAGACUCGAGCUGCAGCUCAUUGAAAAGCAAGGCCAUAAAGCUCAAAUCAAUAGAAUCGAUCCAGAGAAGACUCGAGCUGCAGCUGAUCGAAAAACAAGGCCAUAAAGCCCAAAUAAAUAGAAUAGAUCCAGAGAAGACUCGAGCUGCAGCUGAUCAAAAAGCAAGGCCAUAAAGCCCAAAUAAAUGGAAUAGAUCCAGAGAAGACUCGAGCUGCAGCUGAUCGAAAAGCAAGGCCAUAAAACUCAAAUCAAUAGAAUAGAUGCAGAGAAAACUCGAGCUGCAGCUGAUCAAAAAGCAAGGCCAUAAAGCCCAAAUGAAUAGAAUUGAUCCAGAGAAGACUCGAGCUGCAGCUGAUUGAAAAGCAAGGCCAUAAAGCCCAAAUCAAUAGAAUAGAUCCAGAGAAGACUCGAGAUGCAGCUGAUCUAAAAGCAAGUCCAUAAAGCCCAAAUAAAUAGAAUAGAUCCAGAGAAGACUCUAGAUUUGCUAAUUUUUCCAACUCCACAUUCAGCUACUGGUGUUAUUGUUCAAGAGCAAGAUCUUGUAGAAUGGCUUUUUCUUCCACAUACUAAUUCAUGGCCUCUAACUCCUUAUUUGGAUCAAAUUGCUACUAUGAUAGGAAAUGGGAGAACUCGGAUUGUUAAAUUACAUGGAUAUGAUCCUGAAAAAAUUGUCCCUCUCACGAAGGCACAAAUACAGCAAGAUUUUAUAAAUAGUCUUACUUGGCAAACCCAUUUAGCUGACUUUUUGGGUAUUCUCGAUAAUCAUUUUCCUAAAAUGAAACUGUUUCAAUUUUUGAAAUUAACUAAUUGUAUUCUCCCUAAAAUAACUAAACCAAUUGAACGUGUGGAGAAUGUUUUUACAGAUGGGUCUAGUAAUGGUAAAGCUUCUUACUCUGGCUCGAAAGGUAAAGUUUUCCAGACACCCUAUGCUUCAGCUCAAAAAACGGAGCUUGUAGCUGUAAUUGAGGUAUUGACUGCUUUUAAUAUGCCUAUUAAUGUGAUUUCUGAUUCUUCAUAUGUGGUUCAUUCGACACAAUUAAUUGAAAAUGCUGAGUUACGAUUUCAUACAGAUGAACAACUGAUGACUUUAUUUAUGCAAUUGCAAACAGCAGUUAGGAGUAGAAUGCACCCUUUUUACAUCACUCACAUUAGGGCUCAUACACCUCUUCCAGGACCUUUGACUGCAGGGAAUCAAAUGGCUGAUCGCCUAGUUGCUACUGCAAUAUCUAAUGCUGGACACUUUCACAAUUUAACCCGUGUUAAUACCUCUGGUCUCAAACGCAGAUACAGCAGUACCUGGAAAGAAGCUAAAGCUAUUAUCCAGCGAUGCCCAACUUGCCAAAUGGUACAUUCCUCAUCUUUUACAGGAGGAGUUAAUCCUCGAGGAUUGGAACCUAAUUCUCAAGCUCUAGCUAAAUUUUUCUCUAUACGGAAUAUUAAACACAUUACUGAUAUCCCAUAUAAUUCUGAAGGACAAGCCAUAGUGGAAAGAAUGAAUCUCUCCCUGAAACAGCAGUUGCAGAAGCAAAAGGGGGAAAACAGGUACUACAGGACACCCCAUAAGCAAUUGAAUCGCAUUAUUAACUUUAAAUUUUUUGAGCCUGCCUAAAGGCCGGAUCUUAUCAGCAGCUGAACAGCAUCUACAGAAACCAGCUGCAAAGACAGAAGCAGAACAACUGGUUUGGUGGAGAGACCUGAUAACAGAAAGUUGGGAAAUAGGUAAAAUAAUAACUUGGGGUAGAGGUUAUGCUUAUGUUUCUCCAGGACUGAACCAUCAAGACACCUGAAACCUUAUCAUGAGCGAAUGCUGAGGAAGAGAUUCCGGGAGGAUCCCGAGGACCCCCCCAGUUGCAGCCAUGUCAAGACUGAUGCUGAGGAGGACCCCAACUGUCACGAGCAACACCCGUCAAACACAGCCAUCCACCUGAGGUCAGAUCAAGAAGCUGUCACAGAUGGCAGAAGAAAACCUGAGGAAUGGUCUGGAACACGGACCUGGUGGAGACCCUGGAGCUGCAGAACCUGAUGCUGUGUGCGCUGCAGACCAUCUACGGAGCAGAGGCGCGGAAGGAGUCACGGGGCACGCACGCCAGGGAAGGCUACAAGGUGCAGAUUGAUGAGUACGAUUACUCCAAGCCCAUCCAGGGGCAACAGAAGAAGCCCUUUGAGGAGCACUGGAGGAAGCACACCCUGUCCUAUGUGGACGUUGGCACUGGGAAGACCCGUAAUCGACAAAACUUUGAACGAGGCUGACUGUGCCACCGUCCCCCCAGCCAUUCGCUCCUACUGAUGAGACAAGAUGCGGUGAUGACAGAAUCAGCUUUUGUAAUUAUGUAUAAUAGCUCAUGCAUGUGUCCAUGUCAUAACUGUCUUCAUACGCUUCUGCACUCCGGGGAAGAAGGAGUACAUUGAAGGGAGAUUGGCACCCAGGCUGGGAGCUUGCCAGGAACCCAGUGGCCAGGGAGCGUGGCACUUACCUUUGUCCCUUGCUUCAUUCUUGUGAGAUGAUAAAACUGGGCACAGCUCUUAAAUAAAAUAUAAAUGAACAAAC
ensembl:lncRNA novel transcript